rnacentral:rRNA from 1 species
UUUGACAUGUACGGAAUUUGCCAGAGAUGGCUUAGUGCUCGAAAGAGAACCGUAACACAGGUGCUGCAUGGCUGUCGUCAGCUCGUGUCGUGAGAUGUUGGGUUAAGUCCCGCAACGAGCGCAACCCUUGUCAUUAGUUGCUACAUUUAGUUGGGCACUCUAACGAGACUGCCGGUGACAAGCCGGAGGAAGGUGGGGAUGACGUCAAGUCCUCAUGGCCCUUAUAGGUGG